GGUGUAUUACUCGGCGCCUGUUUUACAUAGGUUAUACGAGUUAGAGCACAACACAAUAAAAGGAUAUGUAUUAGUCACAAAUUAUCAUAUGCCUGGCUCGAUCGUGUCCUAUUAGCGGAAAAGAAAUAGUGCAUUCAUGUGAACGUAGAUCUAUCCAAUGAUAUCCGGGUCAGCCUUAUUACCAGAAACAGUCACAAUAUACACGACCGGAGUAUUUUUGCUCUCUGAACCAUUAAGUUUGAUGAUUCAUUGCGUGUGAAUAUUUUGUGACUCGACAUAAACUAAAUUACUUAUUUAUGGAUCACAAUGUGUCCGCGUCAUAGAUAUUAAUGGAUAGAUCUUUAGAAACUCAACUGAUUUUCUUCAAAAUAAACAUUCUGGAUUCAAAAAUCAAAUCUAUAGUGUUUUAAAGAUAAGUAGGUCUAUCGAAAUAUGAGAUUCCAGAUACCAAUACAAUCAUUCAAGUAUGUUGACUAUAUGAAAGAAGCGAAGAAUACAAAGAAGCCAUCACCACAUCAAUAAACAGAAAAUGCGUGGAAUAGAUAAUUAUAUAUAAUAAGUAUACUAAAUAAAUUAGAGAAUAUAAUUAAAUAACAAAGGAGAUGGAAAUAAAUAUUGAUAUGUAAUUACUAAUUAACAAUUCAAACCUACACAUUACUGUGCAUUUCGCACAAUGCCCGUCUAAAUCUCAAUAUGUCGCAUUACAUAUUAUAAUUGCAGGCUA